GGGAGCCCCGCGGUCCCGCCCGCUGCGGGGAGGGGACGAGGGGCGACCCUGCGUGGCCCGCCACCUGCGACAGUCCCCUGCUCAGAGAAGUUUCCAGAGGAUUGGAGAAUGAAACAGCAGGUGCAUUCUGGAUUUCUUUUAUCCUAAUAAAACUCCUCCAAAGAAUUUGCCGUUUUCCCCUCUGUUUAAUAGCCAGGAUCUGGUUUCAGACCUGCCAGCAUAUUCCCUCAGCAACCCUCCCUGCUCAGCACUUGUCCCGGGUUGACCUCCAUCCUGUUCAUUUCUAUCAUGUUUUAAGGAGCAUGGAACAUCAAAGCCACUAUUUUCUCUAUGGGGAAUCUGCCUUUCCUUGAAAUAGAAGUUGAAGAAUUAUUUAAAGAAUAUCCUUUCAAGGGAGCAGCAGUUGGAUCAUUGGUUUACCCAGAGCCCUCAUAUAUCCCCAUUCAGCCAUGGUGAGCAGGGGGGACCACACCCUUUCAACUCUUCGAGUUUACAAGAGGGAGAUUCCAACUCUAUCAGCCCUUCCUCUGCCUGAUGGACCAGAGACUUCACAGCCCUGAUUCUGUCAGCUCCUCAGUGGAGCUUUCCUUUCAGGUGAACCUAGACCUGGACCUGUUUGUGGUAGGUGUGUCUGUGCCUAAGAUAAGGGCACUGCCACCCACUCAGUUACCUCCCAAAAGACUGUAGAGAUGGGACCCUUUUCAUUUCUUUACACCAUUAACUCAUCCAGUCAUUUAAGUCAGUAAAUACUCAUUGAGCUCCUACAAAUGUGUCAGGCACUAUGCUAGGCACUGAAGGACGAGCAGAGAACAGACAAAUACCCAACUUGCAUGGAAUAUUGUGGUGGGUAAAAUAAGAUAUAGGCAGAUAAAUAUAUAAAUAUAGGAUCUGUCCAGUGGGGAUACUCUGCAAGGGACAAUUAAGCAAAAUCAGGGAAUACAGAGAUGAUGAAGGGGAUUCUAUUUGAUAUAAAGUAGUCAGAAAAGACCUCCCUGAUAAUGCAACGUCUGAGCAGAGCACGGGCCCAUGUACGCAACACCUGUCUCAUCCUUAGCCACUGGCUUUUCUUGGCUGUUAUAGCAGCUAACAGACUCCAUCCAGACCCCUGUAGUUUCUCUGUCUGAGGAUCAUAAGCCACAGGUCUACAAUAUCUGACUGCUCUCCCCAACCCUCUCCAAACUCAGCUGAAAUGCCAAGUCAUAGGCCUUGUCUCCUGAGCAACUGCCAAUGGGGCUAAAGGAUGAAAUACAGAAAUGCGGAGGAUUUAAUUUCCCCUGAAUGAACUUUGACCAGAGGGAGACAGGAGAUUGGAUAUUCUGGGCAGAUGAACUUCCUCUUCUUAUUUCCCUCUGAUAGACUGUUCCGGUAUUUGGUUUCUCCAUUCAGCAUCUCUGAAGUCAACCUGUGUGACCAAACCUAUUUGCUUCCCGAGUGUUAUAAUUUGGACUGCGUUCCCCAAAAGAUAUGUUGAAGUCUUAACCCCAGAAUGUUAUUUGGAAAGAGGGUCUUUGCAGAUGUUAUCAAGUUAAGAUGAGAUCAUCAGGGUGGAGCCUAACCUAAUACAGCUGAUGCCCUUAUAAGAAGAAAAGACAGGACACAGAGGGAGAAGAUGGCCAUAUGAUGACAGAGAGGAAGACUGGAAUGAUCCAUCUACCAGGUAAGAAACAUCAAGGAUUGCCAGCAAACACCAGAAGCCAGAAGAGGCAAGGAAGGAUCUCCUCUACAGUUUUCAGAGGGCAUGUGGCCUUGCCAACAUCUUUAUUUUGGAUUUCUAGCCUCCAGAACUGCAAGACAAUAAAUGUCUAUUGUUUUAGGGAGACCAUGUUCAUAGUACUUUGUUACAGUGGCCCUAGGAAACAAACACACUGAGUGACCAGCUAUGUUGGAUUUACCUCCCAAAUAAAGCACUAACAGUCCAUGCCUGAGGCUCUGUUUUCCAGAAAACUGUGACUGUGACAAAGACCUGAAUAAAGUGAAGGAUGGUAUUUGAGGACAGAGAUUACAGACACAGGGGAGACAAUCCAAAGGUGGCAGCAUGCUUGAUGUGUUAGAGGACCCAGAAGAAAGCUAGUGUGUUUGGAGAAUGAAUAAGGAGAAAAGUGCCAAGAAAUGAAGUCAAAGAGGGAGCCAAAGAUGCUAUCCCUAGGGCCUUAUGGACCACAGAGAAGACUUUAAAUUUUUUUAACAAGGUAUUAGUGAGAUGUAAUUUACACAUAAUAGUAAAAUGAACAAAUGUUAUAGGUAUGGUUUUGUGAAAUUUUUUUUACACAUUGCUCUGGUUUGAAUAUGCCCCCCAUUCAUGUGUUAAAAACGAAUCCCCAAGGUAAUGGUAUUGAGAGGUGGGACCUUUGGGAGGUGACUAAGUCAUGAGGGCAUAUAUAUUAUAAAAAAGACCCAAAAGAGCUCCCUUGCCUCCUGCUACAUGAAGACAAAGGAAGUCCGCCAUUGGAAGAGGGCCAUUACCAUCCUGGCACUCUGAUCACAGAUUUCUAGCCUCCAGAACUGUGAGAAAUAAAUUUCCAUGGUUUAUAAGCUA